rnacentral:rRNA from 1 species
CCUUAACCUGCUAACUAGCCCGGCCGACUUUGGUUAGCCGCUGGCUUCUUAGAGGGACUAUUGGCGUUUAGCCAAUGGAAGUUUGAGGCAAUAACAGGUCUGUGAUGCCCUUAGAUGUUCUGGGCCGCACGCGCGCUACACUGACGGAGGCAACGAGUUUCUUCCUUGUCCGGAAGGACUGGGUAAUCUUUUGAAACUUCGUCGUGAUGGGGAUAGAGCAUUGCAAUUAUUGCUCUUCAACGAGGAAUUCCUAGUAAGCGUGAGUCAUCAGCUCGCGUUGAUUACGUCCCUGCCCUUUGUACACACCGCCCGUCGCUACUACCGAUUGAAUGGCUUAGUGAGCCUUUGGGAUUGGCGGCCAGCACCGGCAACGGUAGCUGGCUGCCGAAAACUUAGGCAAACUUGGUCAUUUAGAGGAAGUAAAAGUCG